rnacentral:lncRNA from 1 species
UUCAGACCAGAGUAGGGCUAAAAAAGCAUGAAUAGCAGGCGGAGCCGACCAUGUGGUAAUUUUGUAUUGAGGAGUGAGGUUAUGAAUAUUGGAAGUGUUUGGAUACUGUUGCCCCGGAGUAGGUCCUGAUGUAUGUUGUGGCGUGUCGACCAAAAUAGGAAAUUGUGCAUGUGACACUGGAGGCAAACUAGAAAGAUAUUCCAGAUUAUUUGCUGGAAAUGGAGAAGGCGGCAACCUAUUAGCCCAAGCUCGAUGCAUUUCUAUCAUUUGUUGUCUCAAUUUCCGAAUCUCUUCAUUAGCUCAUACAUUCUCAUUCCCCAAACUCCCUAUCUGAUUAGUGAUAACAAACUUGGUAUCCUUGUUGCCCAUAACUUUCACUGUGACUUGGAGCAAUAUGGAGGACCAGCCAAAAUGCCACAAAUCAACCACCUUAAACUAACUGGACAAGACAUAGCAAAUGCGUUAGAGUUCAACGAUUUUUCAAAACCAGUUCUUCUUUUUUUUUCUUGAAAAAAAUCACCGAACCCUAGAAGGGCGCCUACGUAUCUCACCCCCGAAAGGGGAGAAUCAGGUGUGCGUAGUUCGUGAAGUCAUGCCAAAAUGGCCAAUUGAACUCUUUUUCUUUUUUUUUUCCUCGAAACUUUAAGAAGAAAAGAAAAUAACAAUUUGUCAAAAGAAUUGACGAAAAUAUUUUUGAAUUUUUUAGCUUUAACAUCCCCAUACAAAGUGAAAUCUAUGAUUACCAAAGAAAAUCUUUUUUCUUCUUUUUUUUUCAACAAUUUCUUACCUACACACUUUGCUUCUAACUCAUGUUUUUGCCCAAACCAGUCGGUCAAAUAACCCUGUUACCCUCAAAAAUACAACAUUUAGCACGUAGGGAUGCCUUAGAGGUGAGUCUCCUACAAAGGGCCAAAUGGGCCCUGCUAGGUCUUCAAUAUGAUGCACAUAAGCAUGACCUAAAGACUGACCUACGUUGGGGUUCACUAACAAGGCUGUUCGGGGGAGCAUAUGGUCGAUAGUGGCUGCUUAGCUUUCCACCUACUCCAUACAUCCAACGGCUCCCUCCCCUAAAAUAAAGGUGACUCAACUAGAGUUCGUGCGCAUGGCGUGCACUCCGAGACUUGUUGCAAAAAUAAUGACUCGGGUUAUGCACAUGAUGUCAGAUAUAAAAGCGUUAACACAUAGGAUAAAUACUGUAAACAAAGAGCACGAAAACACACAAAAGUGAAAACACAAACAAAAGUCACAAACAAUACUUAUACACUCGUAAUGCAAACAAAGCCGAUACGACUCCAAAAAAGCUCGAAUUCUGAAAUUGUCCCCAGUAGAGUCGCCAGAGCUGUCACACCCCAUUUUUCAACUCAAAAAAAGAAUCAUUUUAAGGUUCGAAAGGGUUUUUAUUUAAAGUGAUAAAAUGAAGAUUUGUUUAGAAAGGGACCUUUUACAUUCAAAACUCAGAGUCGCCACCUGGCAUAAUCCGGUGUGCCAAGUCACCUUUGAAAAAUCCUUUUCGAAACGGUUUGACUCUAAAAAAAAAUUGAUCCGCGAACAAAGAUUUUGGCUAAGGAAUUCUGUUGAUCGAGGGGAAGGCGUUAGGCACCCCUCGAUCCCGUGGUUCGACCACGGUCGCUUGGUGGGGCGUAUCGGCUAAUUUGACAUUACAAAUGUACAAACCACAUAAACGCACAAAACAAGCAAACAAACAAAUCACAUAAAAUUCAAAACAAACCAAAAUAAUGUUCAAUCCAAAUUAUACAAUCCAAAAUAAAAGAGGUGCUGAAAUAUAAAACCUAUUCUAUUCUAAACUAAUCCUAAACUAAACUCCACCCGACGUUCCGGGCCUUGAUCACGAGCCUCCUUUGCGUACAUACUACUUCGGGGCAUUCCCCGGAUAAAUCAAUACAAAUCUUUCGGGGCAUUCCCCGACCAAAUGAGUACAAUUUAAACUUUUCGUGCAAUAAAAUAGAAAGUACCAUUCACGCACAUAUUCAAACACUCCAACAAAUCGUUAUUCCUAAAUUUUCCUACCCAAUUUAUUGCUUACCUAACAAUCCACGGCCUAAAACAUAAUACUAUCGAACUUAACGUAGUCGACGUUCAUUCCGAAUCAGGCAAUCAUCGUUGAACCAACAUAAAUCAACGUUCGCUUUUAACAAUUUUCGAUCUUUUUCCCCAAAAUCCAACUUAACCCCAAAUCAACUACGUGAUUAACAUACUUCACACAAGGAUUAACAAUCAGCUAACGACGAGUAAAAUCACUUCAACCAAAUUCAACCAAAAAUCACACCAUUCAAAAAUAUUCACGAAAAAAAGAGAUAAGAGAUAUAGAAUUGGACCUCGAUUCAAAGGUUUUGAAAUUCAAUAAUACUUCAAUGAGAGAACAGAAUCCGGUCAAAGAACCUCGAUUCGAAACCUCCGUUCGAACCCCAACAGAUUGACAAGACCAAAAUCAACAGAAAAAUGUCAAGACGAACACCAACUCAAAUUAAAUCCAAAAAAACAGGACGAACAAACCUGAAACCAGUAUUCUCAGCUCUAAACCCCAAAACUAAAUCGAAUCUUACCAAAACUGGAAUCUAGAAUGAGAUUUUUGUAUCCGUUUGAGCUGCGGAUGGAAUUUCGACGAGAUUUGAGCUAGAAAAUGAAGGGGAGAAUGGCGUUCCGACGUGAGUUCGGUCGGAGUGAACCUGGUGACGCUGUUCUCUGUAGGUUUUGCCGGAUUUCCCUCUCUCCCCUAUUUGCUGGCUGCUUCAAUCUUACUCUUAUUCUCUUUUUCUCGCUCAAUCUCUCUCUCUCGUCUCUCUUUUUAUCUUCUUCUCCGAUCCUCUCUAUUUUGUUUCAAUUUCUCUCUACCCGUUCUUCAGCUCUCCAAAUUUCGAUCGGGGCCUGUCUAGGCGUGGCUGUGUGUAUUCAGGAAUAGAGAAAGUUUGUGUAUGUACUAUUUUCAGUGAGGAUUCUGUGAUAUCUAUUUUCUAGUGUGUGCAGGUAUGUGUGUAGAUGAUGAAGAUGAAGCAAAAGAAAAAAAAUCCCCAAAAAAAUGGCCUCUUCUGUGUGCCUUUUGGUCAAGAUGAUGAUCCAGCCCCUCUGUGUAUAUAUCUCUGUAUUUAUGUGAUGAUUCCCCCAAUUUUUUAUAGUGGUGGGCCUCCAAUAAG